rnacentral:rRNA from 1 species
CCUGGUUGAUCCUGCCAGUAGUCAUAUGCUUGUCUCAAAGAUUAAGCCAUGCAUGUGUAAGCACACACUGUUUUAAAAGUGAAGCCGCGAAUGGCUCAUUACAACAGCCACAGUUUAUUAGAACUUACAAUCAUGGAUAACUGUGGUAAUUCUAGAGCUAAUACACGCACAAAAACUUCAACUGAAUUGGUUGAAGUGCUUUUAUUAGAACAAAAACCGAACGGCGUUUGGCGAAUGUUGAACGUCGAAACUGUUUGGUGAAUCUGAAUAACUAUUUCUGAUCGCAUGGUCUAGCACCGGCGACAUCACUUUCAAGUGUCUGCCUUAUCAACCUUCGAUGGUAGUCUAUGCGACUACCAUGGUGAUAACGGGUAACGGAGAAUCAGGGUUCGACUCCGGAGAGGGAGCCUGAGAAACGGCUACCACAUCCAAGGAAGGCAGCAGGCGCGCAAAUUACCCACUCCCAGCUUGGGGAGGUAGUGACGAAAAAUAACGAGACGAUUCUCGUUUGAGAAACGUUAUCGAAAUGAGUACGCUUUACACACGCUAACGAGUAGCAAUUGGAGGGCAAGUCUGGUGCCAGCAGCCGCGGUAAUUCCAGCUCCAAUAGCGUAUAUUAAAGUUGCUGCGGUUAAAACGCUCGUAGUUGAAUUGUGGUCUUAGACAACAGUCCCCCUACAUAGGUGUGGCACGGUUGCUCGAGAUCUUCAUUCGUGGUUGCUGUUGUUGCUCUUCAUUGAGUGUCAAUGGUGCCUCGAGAUUUUACUUUGAAAAAUUAGAGUGCUCAAAGCAGGUUGUGAUGCCUGAAUAAUGGUGCAUGGAAUAAUAGAAUACGAUCUCGGUUCUAUUUUGUUGGUUUUCGAACCGGAGAUAAUGAUUGAAAGGAACAGACGGGGGCAUUCGUAUUGCUGCGUUAGAGGUGAAAUUCUUGGAUCGCAGCAAGAUGAACAAUUGCGAAAGCAUUUGCCAAGAAUGUUUUCAUUAAUCAAGAACGAAAGUUAGAGGUUCGAAGGCGAUCAGAUACCGCCCUAGUUCUAACGGUAAACUAUGCCAACCAGCGAUUCGCCGAAGUUCAUUUAAGACUCGGCGAGCAGCUUCCGGGAAACCAAAGUGUUUCGGUUCCGGGGGAAGUAUGGUUGCAAAGCUGAAACUUAAAGGAAUUGACGGAAGGGCACCACCAGGAGUGGAGCCUGCGGCUUAAUUUGACUCAACACGGGAAAACUCACCCGGCCCGGACACUGGAAGGAUUGACAGAUUGACAGCUCUUUCUUGAUUCAGUGGGUAGUGGUGCAUGGCCGUUCUUAGUUGGUGGAGCGAUUUGUCUGGUUAAUUCCGAUAACGAACGAGACUCUACCCUAUUAAAUAGUGACAGUAUUGUAUUUUUUGUGCUGAUCACUUCUUAGAGGGACUGGCAAAUUGAAAGCUGCACGAAAAAGAGCAAUAACAGGUCUGUGAUGCCCUUCGAUGUCCGGGGCUGCACGCGCGCUACAAUGAAAGCGUCAACGUGAGUUACGUCCUUACCUGAAAAGGUUUGGCAAUCGAAUGAAACGUUUUCUUGAAUGGAAUAGGGAAUUGCAAUUGUUUCCCUUGAACGAGGAAUUCCCAGUAAGCGUGAGUCAUUAGCUCGCGUUGAUUACGUCCCUGCCCUUUGUACACACCGCCCGUCGCUACUACCGAUUGGAUGAUUUAGUGAGGUGUUUUGACUGGCGCCAGUAGUCGGAUGUAUUCGGCUUCGCGCCGGGAAAUUUCCCAAACCAAAUCAUCUAGAGGAAGUAAAAGUCGUAACAAGGUUUCCGUAGGUGAACCUGCGGAAG